UAAAUAGCCGCAGUACCCUGACUGUGCAAAGGUAGCGUAAUCAGUUGGCUUAUAAUUGAAGUCUAGUAUGAAUGGGAGCACGGGGAUAUUCUGUCUUUUAUUUACGAUUAGAAAUUGCUAAUUAAGUGAAAAUUCUUAAACCUUUAGAAAAGACGAGAAGACCCUAGAAAUUUUUUAUUAUAUAUUUU
rnacentral:rRNA from 1 species